UCUCGCAUGCGCUGCACAGGUUAGAUUGACAUUUUGCCCUGUGUUUAAUUACUACAUGCACUGCACACUGAUCCAUGUAUAUAUUGGCUCCCCUAUAUAUACCUCUGUUGGUGAAAAGUUUUGACUUUCUCGAGUUUUGUCAGACGUGAGUUGCAACAAUUUUCAGUUACUUUUCUAUGCCUGCCAUUUAUCUCUGAACCGUUGUGAUGGAGAUUGUAAUACUGUGUUUAGAAUAUGUCAGUCCAUAUGCAAGAUCUUCUUUUCAACUUGGCAACCAUGAUUAUACGUUAGUCAUCUAUACUUUACAAGCAUAUGAGAUAUGUGUAAUUUUUUUUUGCGGGAAGAUAUGUGUAAUUAAUGUGUUCGUCGGAGCCGAACCAGCAAUCGCUUGUCGCCCUUGCCUUUAGCAAUUCAGCUAGGUUAGGGGAUGGGGAUUCAUUUGGAAUCGAAUGAGGGAGUGGCACGGACACAAGGUUAUCGGGCUGGCGGCUGCUCGUGCGCCUAACCAAACACCCAUUCGGUUUGGUGUGUGGCCACUGUUGCCUACCGUGGGUGCAGUUUGGCUUGGACUUAGUAUCGUGGGCCAAGCCCCAAAAAUAGUGCAAAAUACGUUACAAAUGAAAUAUAAUAUUUUAAAAAAACUCAUCGCCAUAAAAAUGAUACCAUUUAAAAAAUAUUCUUCAAAAUUUUAAAAACACUUUCUCAAAGUAAAAAAUCCGUGUUUUUCUGAAGAAAAAAAGUUGAUUGAUUUUUUUUUUAUAAAAUGAAAGUGCAGAGCUAAAACAGGUAAUUACGAACAUUGUUAGGGUAUAUCCAAAUUUUAUCCUACAAAAAGAAUACUCAAUGUAACCUUAUUUCUGAGGUUUGCAAAAAUUGGAUUAAAAAAUAUUGCAUAAUGGCAUGUAGAGUAGGUUAUAUUUUAUUUUCGUACUGUUUCUGGUCGUACGUCGUCGGCGUUUUUGCAAAAAAGCCCAUCUAUUUUGUUUAAAUCAAGCCGCAGUCCCUGUUUAAGUGACGCUCUGGAAAAACGUUUCAUUUUUACAAAUAAAGAACCNNNNNNNNNNNNNNNNNNNNNNNNNNNNNNNNNNNNNNNNNNNNNNNNNNNNNNNNNNNNNNNNNNNNNNNNNNNNNNNNNNNNNNNNNNNNNNNNNNNNNNNNNNNNNNNNNNNNNNNNNNNNNNNNNNNNNNNNNNNNNNNNNNNNNNNNNNNNNNNNNNNNNNNNNNNNNNNNNNNNNNNNNNNNNNNNNNNNNNNNNNNNNNNNNNNNNNNNNNNNNNNNNNNNNNNNNNNNNNNNNNNNNNNNNNNNNNNNNNNNNNNNNNNNNNNNNNNNNNNNNNNNNNNNNNNNNNNNNNNNNNNNNNNNNNNNNNNNNNNNNNNNNNNNNNNNNNNNNNNNNNNNNNNNNNNNNNNNNNNNNNNNNNNNNNNNUUCCCACACAGCCUAGCCGCCGCCCCGCUGCCACGCACAGCCCAGCCAUGGAGAGGUGUGAGAAUAGGGGCAGGGAGGGAGGAUCGAGCUUACAGCUUCGUCCUCGGUUGUGGAUGCGCAGACGAACAGGGGCAUGCGGUCGUCUCCUUGGAUCUCGAUGCAGACAAGUAGUUGCGGCUCGGCCCUCGGCACAACAUGCAGGCGAGCGGGUGAGCAGUGGCUAGGCGUGAUGGGUGCGACGGGCCCAUGCUUGGACUGUUUGACUUGAGGUCUUGUAGCAAUGAGAAGAGUGAGGGAGUUAAGAGAGAGAAGAAACAGGAAGGAGGGAGAAGGAGAAUGGAGCUUAGGACAGGGGGGCGGCGCAGCUUGCUGCUGGUGCUCGCCGGCGUAGUCGGCUCGGGCGCUCCUGCAGCUCCAUGGGAGGAGCUCGCAGAUGGCCGGAUGGAUGGAUGGAUAGAGAGGAAGGAGAGAAUGUGGAUAAGGUCCACGCAGGGGGGAGCUCUCAGUGGGGCUUUUGGUGUGGACUGCUUUUUCUAAUGGCUGCACCGAUGAGAAGCAGCUGGAUGUUUUUUUUUGAGAAUAGAAGCUGCUGGAUGUUGCUAUGCGUGCUAGCAGCCUAGCACCAAUUGCAAUUUUUUUUCUAAGUGAGCUCCGAUAUAAUUACUUGAUGUGCUUUAUUGGUACUGUCAUAGUUUAAUGUUCAUGUCUACUACAUCAUCAGAUAUAAUAACUAAAAUAAGUGAAAUAUUGGAAAUAAAUAUUUCUUAAGGGAGAAAAUAUUUGGAGCUCACGGGGACUUGCUGACAAUUAACAUAUCUCAAAAUUUUUUUUAAAUGAGCACCGAUAUAAUUACUUGCUGUUGUUUGUUGUUAUUGUCAUAGUUUAAUGUUCAUGCCUACUACAUCAUCAUAUACAAUAAUUAAAAAUGAGUGAAACAUUGGAAAUAAAUAUUUCUUAAGGGAGAAGAUAUUUGGAGCUCGCCGGGACUUGCUGACAAUUAACAUAUUCUCAAAAAAAAAUCUAAAUGAGCACCGAUAUAAUUACUUGUUGUUGUUUGUUGUUACUGUCAUAGUUUAAUGUUCAUGCCUACUACAUCAUCAUAUAUAGUAAUUAAAAAUGAGUGAAACUGUAGCGACCAGACCUCAAACAGUCUGGUCUCUGUGCAUCAGUGUCAUCCCUGGAUCGGUAAUGCUGACACGCACAGUACUUGAAGGAUUUAUAACAGAGUAGCAAUCACACACUUAUUACAUCGAAUGUCUCAAAAGAGAACUUAUUACAAUAAAUAUGGCUUAAGGCCAUCUAAUAACGAUAACAGCGGAAGGCUUGGAAGAUAAAGUGAGAUCAUCAACUCCAACGGCAUCACUGAGUGAAAGAUCACGGCCUAAGGCACCUUACUCGUCGUUUGAAAAGUCUGCAACAUUAACGUUGCAGCCCAAAAACGGGUCAGCACAUGGAAUAUGCUGGCAAUGUAACACAUAAAGAGUAAUGAACAGAAUAAUGCUAUCACUACAUGCAUAUAUGGCUGGUGGAAAGCUCUAUGGUUACAGUUUUGCAUAAAGCCAAUUUUUCCCUACAACAAAGGAAUACAUUUUAUUUAACUAUUAUGGUGGUUGUUAAACAUUGAGAAGGUUCACCCAACUCAAUCCCAAUUAAGCAUCAACAUUAAACCCAACAAAUUAAAUUAAGUAACAUGAUGAGAUUCACAUGAUAAUGCAGGUAUUAGAUACUCAAAACGUCCAUAAUCGGGGACACGGCUAACCAUGAUUAGUUUGUACGCUCUGCAGAGGUUUGCGCACUUUUCCCCGCAAGACUCGAUCUUCUCCGUUGGAUUCUCGCACUACAUGUUGUUUGAGAGACGGGUGACCGAGACAUAGUCUUUCAGAAGCAUUAGCACCUUACGAUGGGUAGACAAUACCACCUACAUCCCCUACAUCUGCUAGUCUACCACUGUAAGAGUUCACACGACUUAAUCAACUACUCUAGAGCCCAUAGUAGCUUGCGGCUGCACAUGGAAGUUUCUAGCAUGAAAAAUCUCAUGAUCUCAUUGAGUCUGGGUAGCAGUCUAUAGGAGAAUCACACAGUACCCCGGGAUUUCCAAAAAUAUAGGCAACACUGGGUUCCCCAGGUGCCUCAAUCCACCCAGAUGUGUAUUAAAGUUGCCACCUUAAGUUGAACCAUAAGUUAACAAUACUCACAUCUGUCAUGGAUACACUCACCCAAUCCACGUCUACUAGCAUAGCAUAGCAAUAUAAGCAAACAUAGAAGUAACUCCCAAAGGUUCGAUAAUAAACAGGACAAUAGGUACUACCUCAUCUACUUCCCAAACCCACAUGUUAAAAUCAGAUCAUAACCAUGCAAUUGUUUGAGGAUUGAUCUAAUGCAAUAAAACUGGGUAGUAAAGAGGUAUGAUCAAAGUGUUACUUGCCUUGCUGAUGAUCCGUGAAACCUAGAGACUCGUAGUAGCACGCUGCGCACUCCGGGUACUCUAUCGCAAACAAACAAGCAUACAAUAAGCACUCAAUUAAUGCACAGGUAAAACUCAAAUAAGAGAUCUAACCAGAAAGUUCAACUUAAGAGCUCCGGUUUGCAAAAAGAAUCAAAUCAAACGAAGCAACGAAACUCAAACGGCGAAAGAAACAAGCUUCAUUUACUAAUCUGGACCUAAGUCAAAUUUUACAGUAGCAAAAACUUGUUUAAGUUGGUUAAACGGAAGGAGGGUUUCGAGACGAAACUCCACGCGCUUGAAUCGCCUGAUUCCGAUAAACGAGUGAAAAGUUAUACUAAAACGAAAAUCGGAUCAGAAAUCGCUACCGAAAAUAAUCGCGAAAAAUCCGAGAAAAAGAAAAACUGACGAAUAGGCUAACGAACGAACGUUCUUUGUCUGCGGCUAAACGGUGAAAACCGUUUGUUAAAACGAACGUAUGGACGAACGUCCGCUAAAUAACUAAACCGAAAAAAAACCGACGAACCGAGACUAAAAAAACGGAUCUAGGGUUUUAAAAAAAUGAACGGUUUUAUCAAAAAAACGGCGGCGGCUACCUCGGGUCCGGCGGGAUUCCGGUGAGGCGACGAGGCGGCGGUGGGCUCCGGUGGGUGGCUACGGGAGGCGGGGCAGCGGAUCAGGCGGCGGCGGGACAGGCGGUGGCGGCGGCGGCUCCGGCGGCGGCGCGGGGCGGCGGCUGGCGCGGGAUGGCGCGACGGCGACGACGAAGUCGGCGGCGGCGGCUAGGGUUUCGGGUGGGGGCGCGGCUGGGCUGNNNNNNNNNNNNNNNNNNNNNNNNNNNNNNNNNNNNNNNNNNNNNNNNNNNNNNNNNNNNNNNNNNNNNNNNNNNNNNNNNNNNNNNNNNNNNNNNNNNNNNNNNNNNNNNNNNNNNNNNNNNNNNNNNNNNNNNNNNNNNNNNNNNNNNNNNNNNNNNNNNNNNNNNNNNNNNNNNNNNNNNNNNNNNNNNNNNNNNNNNNNNNNNNNNNNNNNNNNNNNNNNNNNNNNNNNNNNNNNNNNNNNNNNNNNNNNNNNNNNNNNNNNNNNNNNNNNNNNNNNNNNNNNNNNNNNNNNNNNNNNNNNNNNNNNNNNNNNNNNNNNNNNNNNNNNNNNNNNNNNNNNNNNNNNNNNNNNNNNNNNNNNNNNNNNNNNNNNNNNNNNNNNNNNNNNNNNNNNNNNNNNNNNNNNNNNNNNNNNNNNNNNNNNNNNNNNNNNNNNNNNNNNNNNNNNNNNNNNNNNNNNNNNNNNNNNNNNNNNNNNNNNNNNNNNNNNNNNNNNNNNNNNNNNNNNNNNNNNNNNNNNNNNNNNNNNNNNNNNNUGAAGUCGGUUUGACUUUUUUUUAAAUAAUUCCGACGUGCGGAAAAAGAAAGAAAAGAAAUACUAAACGGACUCCAAAAAUCCCAAAAUAAAUUUUUCCCGUCCUCUAAAAAUAAGCCGGACAAGAUGAACAUUUAUUUGGGCCUAAAAUGCAAUUUUGAAAAACGCGUAUUUUUCCUAUGCAAAUAAAAUAGCAAUAAAAUCCCAAAAUAAAAUCUUAAUGGAUUUUAAUAUUUAAUCUCCAAUAUUUCUUUAUUUUGGGAAAGUCGUUUUAUUCCCUCUCUUUUAUUUUGAUAACUAAAAUAUACAAAGAUAAAAUAAUUAAAAUCAAAUGAUCCUAUUUUUAAAAAUUUGAGAAAAACUCAAAUAUGAAAAUAACGAACUCUCUCCGUGGGUCCUUGAGUUGCGUAGAAUUUCUAGGAUCAAGCCAAAAUGCAAUAAAAUAUGAUAUGCAAUGAUGAUCUAAUGUAUAACAUUCCAAAUUGAAAAUUUGGGAUGUUACAAACCUACCCCCCUUAAGAUGAAUCUCACCCUCGAGAUUCGGGUUGGCUAGAAAAUAUGUGAUGGUGGUCCUUCAAUAGGUCUUCCUCUCGCUCCCAGGUGGCUUCAUCUUCGGUAUGGUGGCUCCACUGAACUUUGCAGAACUUGAUAACCUUGCUGCGCGUGAAUCGGCUGGCAAACUCGAGAAUCUCGACUGGUUUCUCCUCAUAUGUCAAAUCGCUAUCCAACUGAAUCGCUUCCAGUGACACUGUAUCUCUUAGAGGUAUAUCGGCCAUCUCCGCGUGACACUUAUUCAACUGGGAAACGUGGAACACGUCAUGAACUCCUGACAAUCCUUCAUGCAAUUCCAACUUGUAAGCAACUUCUUCCAUACGCUCCAAACCUUUGUAUGGUCCCACAAAACGUGGAGCUAACUUUCCCUUGACUCCAAAACGCUUAACUCCUCGAAGUGGAGACACUCGAAGAUAAAUUCUAUCUCCAACUUCGUAAACUGUCUCCUUGCGUUUAGAAUCCGCAUAGCUCUUCUGCCUGGACUGGGCUACCUUGAGUUUAUCGCGAAUCAGCUUGACCUUCUCUUCAGACUCUUUAAUCAAAUCUGGUUCAAACAACUGACGGUCUCCAACUUCGUCCCACAACAACGGUGUCCUGCACCUUCUUCCGUACAAAGUUUCGAAAGGGGCCAUCUUCAAACUGGAUUGAUAACUGUUGUUGUAAGAGAACUCUGCAUAUGGCAAAUUGUCGUCCCAACUAGAUCCAUAAUCUAGCGCACAAGCUCUUAACAUGUCCUCCAGAAUCUGAUUGACUCUCUCGGUCUGUCCAUCUGUCUGUGGAUGAAAGGCUGUGUUGAACUCUAGCCUGGUACCCAAAGUCUCAUGCAAAUGAUUCCAGAUCUUUGAGGUGAACUGGGUUCCUCUAUCAGAUACAAUGGUCCUCGGAACUCCAUGCAGACAUACGAUCCUGGUCAUGUAUAUCUUUGCCAACUUAGCACUGGUGUAAGUGGUCUUCACUGGGAUGAAAUGAGCUACCUUCGUCAAACGAUCAACUACAACCCAUAUCGAGUCAUAGCCUGAACGUGUCCUGGGCAAUCCCGUGAUGAAAUCCAUGCCUAGCUUAUCCCACUUCCAUUCGGGUAUCGGCAAUGGCUGUAGCAAUCCAGCUGGCUUCUGAUGCUCUGCCUUUACUCUCUGACAUACAUCACAAACUGCUACAUACUCCGCAACAUCCUUCUUCAUUCCGGUCCACCAGAAACUGUCCUUCAAAUCCAGAUACAUCUUGGUAUUUCCUGGGUGAAUCGAAUACGGUGAAUCAUGGGCCUCUUGCAAAAUCAACUUCCUAAUCACCGGAUCAUUGGGCACAUAUACGCGGUCCUCAAACCAUAAGGUAUCAUGCUCAUCCUCACGAAAUCCCUUAGCUUUUCCUUUGCUCAUCUUCUCCUUUAUCUCGGCAAUCUCCUUGUCAGUCUUUUGAGCUUCUCUGAUCUUAUCCAUCAAUGUAGACUGAAUCUCUAAUGCUGCUACAUAGCCUCUUGGAACUAUCUCCAAACAUAGCUCGUGAAGAUCCUCGGCUAACUCCUUGGGUAACUCUUCGGUCAAAAGUGUGUUAACAUGGCUCUUGCGGCUCAAUGCAUCGGCUACUACGUUAGCCUUUCCUGGGUGGCAAUGCAAUCUCAUAUCAUAAUCCUUAAUGAGCUCCAACCAUCUCCUUUGCCUCAACUCCUUCUGCGUGAAGAUGUACUUCAAACUCUUGUGGUCCGUGUACACCUCACAAUGGUUUCCGAUGAGAAAAUGUCUCCAUGUCUUCAACGCAUGCACUACGGCUGCUAACUCCAAAUCAUGCGUGGCAUAAUUCAACUCAUGGGGCUUAAGUUGUCGUGAGGCAUACGAAACAACUCUUCCCUCCUGAAUAAGUACUGCUCCAAGUCCUCGACGAGAAGCAUCGCAAUAAACUUCAUAAUCCUUGCACUAAUCUGGCAGAAUCAACACUGGUGAUGUAACCAAAUGCUUCUUCAACUCCUGAAAACUGGCCUCACAUUCCUCAGUCCAUUUGAAUUUGGUGUUGUUCUUCAACAACUCCGUCAUGGGUUUGGCAAUCUUCAAGAAAUUCUCAAUGAACCUCUGGUAGUAUCCUGCGAGUUCAAGAAAACUCCGGAUCUCUCCAACUGACGUGGGUGCCUCCCAAUUUGUCACAGUGACAACCUUGGUGGGGUCUACUGCUAUUCCUUCUCCGAAUAUAACAUGUCCGAGAAAUCCAACUUCCUUCAACCAAAACUCACACUUACUGAACUUGGCAUAAAGCUGAUGUUCUCUGAGCUUCCCAAGUACCAAAUGCAAAUGCUCCUUAUGCUCCUCUUCAUUCUUCGAGUAGACCAAAAUAUCAUCAAUGAACACCACGACGAACUUAUCCAAAAACUCCAUAAACACCUUGUUCAUCAUGUUCAUGAAAUAGGCAGGUGCGUUAGUCAGACCAAAUGACAUAAUGGUAUACUCAUAUAGCCCGUACCUCGUGGUAAAAGCUGUCUUAGGUAUAUCCUGCUCUUGAAUCUUCAACUGGUGGUAUCCUGAUCGCAGAUCGAUCUUGGAAAAUACUUUUGCUCCUUGCAACUGGUCAAAUAGAUCAUUGAUCAUCGACAGUGGGUACUUGUUCUUGAUUGUCACAUCAUUCAACCCUUGAUAAUCAACAACCAUCCUCAAUGAUCCAUCCUUCUUUUCCACUAGAAGCACUGGCGAUCCCCAAGGUGACGAGCUUGGGUGAAUAUAUCCUUUAUCCAGUAACUCCUUAAUCUGCUUCUUAGUUUCCUCUAAAUCCUUUGCGGGCAUCCUGUACGGUCUCUGAGAUAUUGGCCCUGAGCCUGGCAAAAGCUCAAUCAAAAACUCAAUGUCUCUAUCCGGUGGCAUGCAUGGCAACUCCUCUGAAAAUACGUCAGGGAAAUCCUUCACCACUGGUACUUCCUCCUGUAUAACUCGUGAUAAGGAAUUCACUUGAGUCCUCUUCGGCACAUGCCAGGAUACAUACUUGAUCCUUCUUCCUUCUGGGGUGGUAAGCAAAAUCGACUUACUGGCGCAUUCAAUGUUCCCUCCAUACUUCGAUAACCAAUCCAUGCCUAAUAUCACAUCCAGUCCUUGUGAAUCCAAUACUAUUAGGUCUGAGGGGAACACGUAGUUACCAAUCCUUAAGGGUAACCAAUAACACCAUAGACUAGCCAUAUACUCUGCUCCUGGCGAGGUUACUAACAUGGGUGACCUAAGGGCUUGGGUUGGCAGUUUAUACUUAUCCACAAAUCCCCUUGAUAUAUAUGAAUGUGAUGCACCAGUAUCAAAAAGAACGAUAGCAGUAAACGACUUAACUAAAAACUUAGCUAUUACUGCAUCUGGCUGGGCUUCAACCUCCUCCACGUUAACGUGGUUCACCUAUCCCAUGUUGAAAGGGUUAGGCUUCUUCCCAGAGCUUCCAUUGCCAUUUCCAUUCUUAGCUUCAGGACAUUCAUUGGCAUAAUGUCCAGUCUUUUGGCACUUGUAGCAAGUAACGUGGCUCAAAUCCUUCUUAGCUGGGGUGGCUGGGUUGGUACGGUUCUGACCGCUGCUUCCUCCAUUCCCAUUGCCAUUAUUGGGGCCACUAUGGUUGUGCAAACUCCCUCCAUUGUGAUUGUGACCUCCAUGGAUAUGCUGAAAAGGUCCUCCUGAGUUCGGGGUAAAACGGGGCUUCUGAUGAGCUCCAGAAUUGUACUUCCCUUGUCCAUACUUCCUCUUGCGGCUGUCAAUCUGCUGCUGCUUCCCUUCAAUCAUGAGAGCUCGGUCUACCAACUCCUGGUGGUUGUUGAAGGUUGCCACCAUCAACUGCAUGCUCAGCUCAUCAUUCAGUCCUUCCAGAAACUUCUCCUGCUUAGCUGCAUCCGUAGCAACGUCAUAUGGGGCAUAACAUGCUAGCUUACUAAAGUCAUCCACAUACUGGCCAACUGUACGUCCUCCUUGGCGCAAGUUGCGAAACUCACGUUUCUUUAUGGCCAUAGCUCCUGCUGAAACAUGGGCAGUACGGAAAGCCCGCUGAAACUGAUCCCAUGUGAUAGUGUUAAUGGGGUAAGUGGCUGUGAAAUUCUCCCACCAUGAUGCUACGGGUCCAUCAAGCUGAUGUGCGGCAAAGUGCACUCUCUCCGCAUCUGUGCAUCCUGCAGUGGUCAACUCCCUUCCAAUCUUGCGGAGCCAAUCAUCUACAACUAUUGGCUCGGUGCUACUGGAGAACACCGGCGGAUUAAGCCUCAAGAAACGGGCUAAGUGAUCCACAGGUGGUGGUGGUGGUGGGUUGUUGUUGUUGUUGUUGUUGUUGUUGUUGUUGUUGUUGUUGUUGUUGUUGUUGUUGUUGUUCCCCUGAUUCUGAUUCUGGACUAGUAUAUGCAUUAAUGCAUUCUGCUGCUAGAUCAACUGAGUGAGCUCCGGUGGGAAAGCAAAUCCAUUGUCGCGUCUAGGAGGCAUCUGAGGGUUUAGAAAGGAUGAGAAUACAGAAUAGAAUGAGGUCUAGAGAGAAAACACUACCCAUAUGCACAUGAGACAAACACAAUCAUAUCACUUCAAUCAAUUUCAAACAAGGGCAUACAACGGUCUAACUAUCGUUACAAAAGUGCUCGGACUAUACUAUAAACAUGGGGAAUACUACUACUGUUAUGGUGGUCGACUAGAAAAAUUGAUCGAUCAAAGACUCCAUGAUAUCUGCUCCAGCUUCAUCAACAAAGUCAUCAUCGCUAUCGUCAGGGUCUGAGUUGGUGUCAUCGAUGAUGAUGUAGUUCUCUGGGCAAGUGUAAUCAUCGUCUUCUCCCGGCGCGGGGAAUCCCAUGAAUACUUUUAGCUUCUUCUUCAGGUCAUCAUUCUUCUCCACGAGUGUCGUCAUUUCCUCCUCAUAUCCAUCGCUUGUAGACUGGAGUUCUUCUUCCAGCUCUGUGAUCUUGGUCACUGCCUUCUUCAGAUCUAUCAUGCCCGCGCACAUCUGGUUCUCCUGGCGACGAAUGUGCUGGUUUAACUCCUGGAUGAAUGCUGCAAUUGAUCUAUCCUUCCUGGUGAUGAUCAUCUCCCAUUACUCAUCUCGGCGCCCAUAAAUUUGGUAGAUAGUAUCCUUGAGAUCCUUGUGGUAAACUUCUCCAAUGCGUCCCAUGGUGAUGUGGGCUGCCAUGCUCUUUCAUAAACUCCAGGUUGGUGCAUCAAAGAAAACUCUAUGGGCUCAGUGACUGGCAUGAACAUCCUUCCUGGAUCUUGAACUUGAAUCAUCCAACGCUCCUCUUCUGGUAAAGUGGCGAUGUAGGUCCCGGUGAAACUUGGUACUCCGAUAUUCAGGUAUCUAGUGACUUCCUUCAAGUGGCGUCCGAAAGGCGUGUCUUCAUCCGGUUGCUUGAACUUGUUCCUUGCAUCCGCCAUCCUAAAGAGUAGAAAAAGGAGAGGAGUUAGAAAUGAGAAGAGAGUAGUGAUCUAGGGCUUUAGCUUAGUGGUCGUGUCCUACAGUCAGAGUGUGCUCUAAUACCAUCUUGUAGCAGCCAGACCUCAAACAGUCUGAUCUCUAUGCAUCAGUGUCAUCCCUGGAUCGGUAAUGCUGACACGCACAGUACUUGAAGGAUUUAUAAUAGAGUAGCAAUCACACACUUAUUACAUCGAAUGUCUCAAAAGAGAACUUAUUACAAUAAAUAUGGCUUAAGGCCAUCUAAUAACGAUAACAAUGGAAAGCUUGGAAUAUAAAGUGAGUCCAUCAACUCCAACGACAUCACUGAGUGAAAGAUCAUGACCUAAGGCACCUUACUCGUAGUCUGAAAAGUCUGCAACAUGAAUGUUGCAGCCCGAAAACGGGUCAGCACAUGGAAUAUGCUGAUAAUAUAACACAUAGAGAGUAAUGAACAAAAUAAUGCUAUCACUACAUGCAUAUAUGGCUGGUGGAAAGCUCUAUGUUUACAGUUUUGCAUAAAGCCAAUUUUUUCCUACAACAAAGGAAUAAAUUUUAUUUAACUAUCAUGGUGGUUGUUAAACAUUGAGAAGGUUCACCCAACUCAAUCCCAAUUAAGCAUCAACAUUAAACCCAACAAAUUAAAUUAAGUAACAUGAUGAGAUUCACAUGAUAAUCCAGGUACUAGAUACUCAAAACGUCCAUAACCGGAGACACGACUAACCAUGAUUAGUUUGUACACUCUUUAGAGGUUUGCGCACUUUUCCCUGCAAGACUCGAUCUCCUCCGUUGGAUUCUUGCACUACAUGUUGUUUGAGAGACGGGUGACCGAGACAUAGUCUUUCAGAAGCAUUAGCACCUUACGAUGGGUAGACAAUACCACCUACAUCCCCUACAUCUGCUAGUCUACCACUGUAAGAGUUCACACGACUUAAUCAACUACUCUAGAGCCCAUAGUAGCUUGCGGCUGCACAUGAAAGUUUCUAGCAUGAAAAAUCUCAUGAUCCCAUUGAGUCUGGGUAGCAGUCUAUAGGAGAAUCACACAGUACCCCGGGAUUUCCAAAAAUAUAGGCAACACUGGGUUCCCCAGGUGCCUCAAUCCACCCAGAUGUGUAUUAAAUUUGCCACCUUAAGUUGAACCAUCAGUUAACAAUACUCACAUCUGUCAUGGAUACACUCACCCAAUCCACGUCUACUAGCAUAGCAUAGCAAUAUAAGCAAACGUAGAAGUAACUCCCAAAGGUUUGAUAAUAAACAUGACAAUAGGUACUACCUCAUCUACUUCCCAAACCCACAUGUUAAAAUCAGAUCCUAACCAUGCAAUUGUUUGAGGAUUUAUCUAAUGCAAUAAAACUAGGUAGUAAAGAGGUAUGAUCAAAGUGUUACUUGCCUUGCCGAUGAUCCGUGAAACCUAGAGACUCGUAGUAGCACGUUGCGCACUCCGGAUACUCUAUCGCAAACAAACAAACAAGCAUACAAUAAGCACUCAACUAAUGCACGGGUAAAACUCAAAUAAGAGAUCUAACCAGAAAGUUCAACUUAAGAACUCUGGUUUGCAAAAAGAAUCAAAUCAAACGAAGCAACGAAACUCAAACGGCGAAAGAAACAAGCUUCGUUUACUAACCUGGACCUAAGUCAAAUCUUACAGUAGUAAAAACUUGUUUAAGUUGGUUAAACGGAAAGAUGGUUUCAAGACGAAAGUCCAGGCGCUUGAAUCGCCUGAUUCCGAUAAACGAGCGAAAAGUUAUACUAAAACAAAAAUCGGAUCAGAAAUCACGAUCGAAAAUAAUCGCGAAAAACCCGAGAAAAGAAAAAACUGACGAACAGGCUAACGAACGAACGUCCGCUGUCUGCGGCUAAGCGGUGAAAACCGUUCGUUAAAACGAACGUACGGACAAACGUCCGCUAUAUAACUAAAUCGAGAAAAAAACGACGAACCGAAACUAAAAAAAUGGAUCUAGGGUUUUAAAAAAACCGAACGGUUUUAUCAUAAAAACGGCGGCGGCUACCUCGGGUCCGGUGGGAUUCCGGCGAGGCGGCGAGGCGGCGGUGGGCUCCGGUGGGCGGCUACCGGGCGGCGGGGCGGCGGCGGGACGGGCGGUGGCAAGUCGCGGCGGCGACGGCGAAGUCGGCGGUAGCGGCUAGGGUUUCGGGCGGGGGCGCGGCUAGGCUGCGGGGUCGCGGUCUCGGGCUUUAAAGGUCGGUCGGGCGAGGUCUCCUGGCCGGGUACAGCCUGAAGUCGGUUUGACUUUUUUUUAAAUAAUUUCGAUGUGUAGAAAAAGAAAGAAAAGAAAUACUAAACGGAUUCCAAAAAUCCCGAAAUAAAUUUUCCCCGUCCUCUAAAAAUAAGCCGGACAAGAUGAACAUUUAUUUGGGCCUAAAAUGCAAUUUUGAAAAAUGCGCAUUUUUCCUAUGCAAAUAAAAUAGCAAUAAAAUCCCAAAAUAGAAUCAUAAUUGAUUUUAAUAUUUAAUCUCCAAUAUUUUUUUAUUUUGGGAAAGUCAUUUUAUUCCAUCUCUUUUAUUUUUAUAACCAAAAUAUAUGAAUAUAAAAUAAUUAAAAUCAAAUGAUCCUAUUUUCAAAAAUUUGAGAAAAACUCAAAUAUGAAAAUAACGAAAUCUCCAACUCUCUCACUGGGUCCUUGAGUUGCGUAGAAUUUCUAGGAUUAAGCCAAAAUGCAAUAAAAUAUGAUAUGCAAUGAUGAUCUAAUGUAUAACAUUCCAAAUUGAAAAUUUGGGAUGUUACAGAAACAUUUGAAAUAAAUAUUUCUUAAGAGAGAAGAUAUUUGAAGCUCACUGGGACUUGCUGACAAUUAACAAAUCCUCAACUCUGGAUGCCACCACGUUGCUGGUGAGACAGGAAGGGGAGAGGGAGGGAAGAGUGGCGAGAAUGUGAAAACGGUGCAUCUUGCUCGUGACAUGUUUCGUCCCGCACGCCAGCUGUGGGGUAGGGGGCAGGGGGCUCCGUUUUAACAUCUCUCCCGCCACUCUGCAUGCCCUAAUCCUGAUCCCCAACGAGGCCCGAUGAUGAUGUCCAGGGAAGUGGCCAUGUUGGUGUGGUGGUGGUGGGGGGGUGCGCUCCUACUCCUGGUGGCAACGUGCCAACAAAAGAGCGCCAGGCAUUGUAAACUCUUUACCUUUCGGCCAUCAUGUUUUUGUAGUGGAAAAGUUCAAAUAUGAAUUAAUGUUAAUACGAAUUUCAAAAACAGAAGGAGGACAAUAGGGCGAGACAAACGGAAAUAAAUAGACGCAUGAGGUGGGUAACAAUGUCCCCCAUUGCAACGCACGGGCAUUUGUGCUAGUUUUACCUAUAACAACAUGGAAAAUUCUUUUUACCCUUUUUCUACUAUGAAAAUUAUUUUCUUCUGAUUUUGCCAUGGCAAUUUUACCUUUCCUGACGUGGCAAAUUUACCUAUAACGCCAUGCCAAUUUUUACCUUUUAUUGACAUGGCAAAUUUUACUUUUUGUCUAUGAUUUUUUCUUUACUGUUUUAAUUUCCAUGGUAAUUUUUAUAUUUAUUUGACAUGGCAAAAUUACCUAUAUUUCCAUGACAAUUUCUAACAUUUACAUACAUGUCAAUAUAAUUGCUAAUGGCAAUUUUAAUCAAUAUUUUUUGUCACCACGUAUUUACAGAUGAAAAUUGCCAUGACUUUUUCCCUUUGGGUCAUUGCAAAAAAAUAUUCUUUUUUACCCGUGGCAAACCUUUUCUUGUAAAGUUAAUGGCAUUUUUUGUAGCACAACAAGAACUGAGCUUUUUUGUCACGAAAAAAACAAAAUAUGUGUUGUUUCUUGUUAUUGUUAUUGGGCUUAUUUUCCCCUUUUCAUUUUUUAGGAAAAAGGUCCAUUGAGGGAUUGGGAGGGUCCUACCUCAUUCGUCCCACCGAACCUUUCAUUUGGUCUGGUAGGGUUCGGUCUUAUCAGGUAGAUAUCGGCGUAUAGAAUGAUGAUGGACAAAAAGUUGAGAAGGGAGGCUUGGCUGGAUGGUACCACUGGGUCCUCUAGCAACGACCGAGAUGCAAAAUCGUGGAAGUUUCUUUGGAAAACACAAGUCCCAGGAAAGAUCCGAAUGUUCCUAUGGAGGCUCGCGAAACAUUCUCUUCCCACGAAAGAUGUUAGAGCACAUAGAAGCAUGGCGACUUCGAGUGCAUGUGGUCUAUGUGGUGCAGUAGACUCAUGGAGACAUUCUAUGCUCGAAUACUUAAUGUCAAGGUGCGUGGGCGUUGGUAGAUGGUGACUUGGCGGAACAUCUAUGUGGAACAACAGAACCCAGUGCUAGGCAGUGGAUAUUCACAAUGAUCAACACUGUCUCACUCGUCCUUUGUCUGGCUAGCGGUAACGAUGUGGGCAAUUUGGUGGACGCCAAAGAAGGCAAUACAUGAGGAGGUAUAUCAAAGCCCAUCAGCCACACAUCAAUUCAUUAAUCUGUUUAUAUCUGACCUGGAGGUACUGCCGGCGAGGACUAGUAGAACAACGACAACACCAAGGGCAUCAGUAGCGCGGCCAAGAGCUCCGCCGGCAGGUUUCACAAAUACACAUGUGUACGCGCCAAUAUUCAUGCUGCAGACUAGCGGGGCUGCUGCAGCUGUCUGUCGAGACACGCUGGGUAACUUCAUGGGCAAUUUGGCUCUUGUUUUGCACGGAAUAAAGGAUGUGGCUUCUUUAGAAGCAGUAGCAUGUGGAGAAGGUUUGUCACUUGCCCAAAAUCUAUCCCUUUAUAAUUGGUCAGCGAUCUGCGCCGGCGCACCGGCCCAACAGUUGGGCCGGUCGAGGCCCAGCCGUCUGAUGCGGUUUGCAUGGACCGUUAGAUCUGCGCGCAUAAACGGACUGAAGCAACUGUUGCAGCAAAAAAAACAAUUUUGUUGCGACCGUGUACGAACAGGCACAAGAAGAAAAACAGGGAGUUGGAUCCCCCCGCGACUAACCGUCCCCGAUCCGCGGCGGCGGCGGCUAGAUCCGCCUAUUAUUCGUUCCCCGCGGCCGAAUCACGUCGACGAGGAGCUCCCCCACCUAUCAAGCCGCCUUGGGAUUGCUUCAAUCAUGUCUUACAUACGUCAUGACCUCCUUGCCGCCAUGGAUUUGGGCUCGAGCUCCGUUACGGCCGGUCGAGGUUGCAGCUCGCCGCGAGCCCGUAGCAGCUCGCCGGCGACCGGUUGCAGCAUGCACCCCUGCCCCCCGUGCUGGAUCUCGCCGCCAGAAUUCACGGAAACCCGUGCUGGGUCGCAGCUCAGCCAUGAUGGAUGUAGCAAAACAUUAUGCCGGUUGUAGCAAAAAACGAUGCUAGUUGUAGCAAAACCGCGACGCCGGCUGUGUGUUGUAGCAAAACGUGACGCUAGUUGUAGCAAAAUGCUAUGCCAGUUGUAGCAAAAAUCUAUGCUGGUUGAAGCAUGUAGCAAAACUGCAGCAUUUUAUCAUCUUCUUCCACCUCAAGCCGUCGCUGGUUGAAGCUUUCUUAUUUUCAUAGUGUCUGGUUGUAGUUUUCUCUUUCAAUGGUGGGAGCUUUUUCCAACAACCGUUGAAGCUUUUUUACCAAAAGUUAUAGCUAUUUUCUUUUUAGCAGCACUUGGUCAAGGCUUUUUGUGUCGUUUCGGUUGAAGCUUUUUUAAUCGAAGGAUGUAGCAUUUCAUGUCAACGGUUGUAGCUUUCCGGCGAUGGCGCUGACUGCUUGUAGCUUUCUCUACAUCCGGUUGAAGGUUUUCAUCUAGGGGAUGAAGCUUUUUUUUAAACGGUUGCAACAUGAGGGGGUGCGAUGAUUCUGCAGAAGCCUCCGGUGUCGACCAUCGCCGUCCGGCUCGUCGGCGGCGAGGCAGAAGCACGAGACGUGUGGGAGUUGCAACCGCCGGGGAUGGGGAUUGGUCAACGGGCUGCAUCCAAUGGCGAAACGGGCUGUAAAGCAUGGCGGGGUGAGAUCUACAUCCAUGGACGCGCGGGGGAUUCGACCUUCCAUGGCCGACGGCGAGAUGUGGGCGCCGGCGCUGCAGGAGAUGAGGAUGGGGACGAGAUCCGCGGAGCUGCGAGACAGGAAUGAGGCGAGAUUCGCGAGAUCCGCAGCGCCACGUGGUUGCUCGCGACUGGGUCGCGGCGUGUGCGCGUGGACUGGACCGGCCGAAGCUUCGGCCGGUGCCCCGGCCCCAAACGUUUCCCUUUAUAAUUUCAUCAUCGCGUCGGAUUCAAAGCAAGUGGUAAACGACAUCGAUAGAGCUAGCCGUGGAGGUUAUGGUGCUAUCGUUAGUGAAAUUAAGCAGAGAGCUUUAUCUUUUAAUUGUAAGUUUACUAUUGAAGGCAUAGUUCCUAAUAGCGAUGCUAAUAGGUUAGGCAAGUUUUCUCAUUUGUUGGAUUAGGGGCGCCAUGUUUGGCUUAUCGAACCUCAUGAUCCAUUUUGUAUCCCACAUCAUGUGGAAUUUGAUCAAUAAAGCUUGAUUUUAACCCCUCCAAAAAAAGAUAGAUAUGGGCGUCCUUUUUUUUCAUUACGUUGGCAAGUAUCGUAAUUUCAACUGAAACAACGUAUGAAAAAAAACAGGAAAAAUACACCUCCUAGCUCCUAGGUAUCAUCAUUGUGGCACAUCAGAUUAGAUCAACCGAUCUACCAGCCUACGUCCCUCUGGAUUCCCAACGAAGAACUCGGCAAAUACGAGAAUUGUAAUGAAGAGAAGACCGAGUAAAACAACUUGGCAUAUAGCUGCCCCGACGAGCACGGCGAUUGUUAUGCAUGCCGUCGUUGAGUGCGAGUCAUAGACCUGGAUCAGGGCCACGAAGAAACCCAUAAACAUCACAGUGGCGCACAUUAGAAGACACAUGAAGAUACACCUGCUGUGCUGUUGAGGCUCCGCCUCCAAGGCUUCGAGAUCAGCGGCAACGCCGCCGCCGCCGCCGCCGCCGCCGGGGUUUAGGUCGUCAUUGUCAAAGUAUAAUCUUAGCCUGUCUACCCAGGCCUCAAAUCUAUGCCGAGAGGGCUCCGCCGCGACGAGGUUUUCCUCCAUGUCCGGGUUCUCGAGGUCGACCAUCGAGGAUCGAGGGGCGCGCGAUCUUUCCUCCUCGGCAAGGAUUCCGCGGUUUCUUUCGUGACGAGCAGUUCGUAUACCAGGCCAAAUCAGCAAAGAGUAUUUAUUAGAGGGAGACCGACCGGGCCUGAGUAGGAAUCGGGCCCUGAAGCUGCUACGCGAAUCACGGCUUUGCGUAACAUUCUUGUCAGGCCGUGCCACCAGCCAGAAAAAACUGGCCUGCCAAUCACAAAGUUUUUUUUUUGCCAAUCACAAAGUUCACGCAAAUCUUGGUUCAGACAAAAAAAAGGGAGAGCUCCUGUUUGAUAGCGACUGGGAUUGUAUUUUAUAGCACAGCAUAGGUUUAAAGUACUAUGGACAGCGGCAGAUCCCUUUUUUAAUCUUCACUAAAAAAUUGAAUAAUGUUUUCUUGAAGAAAUUUCGAAACUCGAAUAAACUGUUAAAAAAUGUUUUUUUAAACGUAAACAAUUAUUGAAAACAUGAACAAAAAUUUAUAUACGACGAACAAUUUUCAAGUCGGAAAACGUGAACAAUUAUUGAAAACAUUUAAAAAAUGUGGAACAAGUAUUUGAAAAGAUGUUGAUCAUGUAUAUAAGAAAAUGUUAAAUAAGUAUUUGAAAAAUGCAUAACAAGUAUUUGAAAAUAUGUUGAACUAAGUAUUUGAAAAAAAUAUUGAACAAGUACUUGAAAAAAAUAUUGAUCAUGUAUUUGAAAAAUAUUAAACAAUUAUUUGAAAAAAUGUUGAUAAUAUAUUUUAAAAAUGUUGAACAAGUAUUUAAAUAAUGUUGACCAUGUAUAUAAGAAUGCGGAAUGAAAAAAAAAGAAACAAAAGAAAAAAAUAAGAACCAAAAAAGAAACAAAAGACGAAAGAAAAAGGAAAAUGAAAAUACUGAAAACAAAUAAAAAUCCCAGAGAAGAAGAAAGAAAAAAAAAGAAAUGGAGAAGAAAAAAGAAAAGAAAACGAAAAAAAAA
rnacentral:lncRNA from 1 species